rnacentral:rRNA from 1 species
CGAUUAAGCCAUGCAUGUCUAAGUAUAAGCACUUUGUACUGUGAAACUGCGAAUGGCUCCUUAAAUCAGAGAUAAUGUAUUUGGUAGUAUUUUUCUAUUCGGAUAACUGAAGGAAACUUGAGCUAAUACGUGCACGAAAGGCUGACUUCGGAAAGCCUGCACUUGUUAGAUAUAACCAACCGCCAGGCAACUGGUGUAUUAGGUAAUUCACAACAAGAUCGCGGAUCGUAUGUAAUACGACGUACCAUUUCAAUCUCUGCCCUAUCAUGUAAUUCGUAGGAUAGAGGCCUACGAAGCAUUUGACGGGUAACGGGGAAUCAGGGUUUGAUACCGGAGAGCCCGCCUGAGAAACGGCGAGCACGUCCAAGGAAGGCAGCAGGCGCGAAAAUUGCCCAAUCUAGAUACUAGGAGGCAGGGACAAGACGUAACGACAGAAGGCCCAUAAGGGCACCUGAUAUGGAAUGAGUGUAAUAUAGACCUUUACACAAAGGCAACUGGAGGGCAAGUCUGGUUAACAAUAAUAAUAUGAUGAAAGUAUGUUGAGUGAGACUCUCCAUCUCACAUUAAUCAAUGUAUUUUCAGCGGCGUCAUAUUAUUUCAGCCAGAUGUCUACUAUUUCAUUAUAGUAGGCAAAAGAUUGGAAAUGAGUACCAAUCAUACAUGUGUAAAUUGCGGGAAACUCCUCAAUGCAUGACAAUACCGCGGACCGCCGUGAGGUUAAAGACAGUAAUGUCUUAGGUCGCAGCAGAUGAUGUAAUUAUCAUCGGAUGGUAAAAACUUGUCAUGAUGGUCACACUGCCCGUGACCGAUGUAAGGGACAAUCCGCAGCCAAGCUUCUCUUUGUAUGAAGAGAAGAAGGUUCAGAGACUAUAAUCACGUGGGGUCUAGCGAUAGAUCUUAAGGUAUAGUCCACUCCCACUUGUAAAAGUGACCAUUUGUUAUUAACUCUUCACUCGAGAGCUAGGGCAAUGGUGCAAUGAGUAAUAUCAUUGUGGUAGUAAGGGCCAGCAGCCGCGGUAAUACCAGCUCCAGUAGCGUAUGUAAAAGUUGUUGCAGUUAAAAAGCUCGUAGUUGAAUUUGUGACUAAUUUCAACGGGUUGUCACUAUAGUGAAACCUGAACUGAAGUUGGUCUUCCUGAUAAAGACUGUUUACCUGAUUCAUUUCAGCGUCAACAUGGAUUUAUCUUUUUUACCUUGAAGAAACUAGAGUGUUCAAAGCAGGCUAAAUGCAAUUGAAUAUAUCGCAUGGAAUAAUGGAAUAGGACCGAUGUUCUGUUGAGUUGGCAAUAGACGUUGGUAAUGAUUAAUAGGAACCGUUGGGGCCUUUUGUACUCGAACGCUAGAGGUGAAAUUCUUGGAUUGUUCGAUGACAAACAAAUGCGAAAGCACUAGGCAAAGAGGUCUUCAUUAAUCAAGAACGAAAGCUGAGGGAUCGAAGACGAUUAGACACCGUCGUAGUCUCAGCCGUAAACGAUGCCGACUAAGGAUCACGAGUUGGCUGGAUAUAAUGCCCCCGUGGCACUUUCCGAGAAAUCAAAGUUCUUGGGUUCUGGGGGGAGUAUGGUCGCAAGACUGAAACUUAAAGGAAUUGACGGAAGGGCACCACCAGUAGUGGAGCCUGCGGCUUAAUUUGAUUCAACACGGAAAAACUUACCAGGUCCGGACAUUGGUAUGAUUGUCAGUUUGAUAGUGCUUACAUGAUUCUUUGGGUGGUGGUGCAUGGCCGUUCUUAGUUGGUACCUUGAGGCGUCUGGUUAAUUCCGAUAACGAACGAGACCCUAGCCUACUAAAUAGAAUUGACAAGUUUACUUGUUAUUUUCUUCUUAGAGGGACUGCCUGUCGUUAAGCAGGAGGAAGGUUGGGGCCAUAACAGGUCUGUGAUGCCCUUAGAUGUUCUGGGCCGCACGCGUGCUACAAUGAUAUCUUCAACGAGAGCUAGCUAUUUCGAGAGGAAUGGCAAACCUUCUGAAAAGGUAUCGUAUUGGGGAUUGUCCUUUGCAAUUCUUGGACAUCAACCAGGAAUUACUAGUAGGUGCGUGUCAUCAGCGCGCGCCGACUAAGUCCCUGCCCUUUGUACACACCGCCCGUCGCUCCUACCGAUUGGAUGUUUUGGUGAAAUAUUUGGACUUAGUUCUAUGCUGGGGAAACUCACUAGAAUAGAGAAAAGGUAGUGAACUCGAAUAUCUAGAGGAAGGAG